GACGAACGCUGGCGGCGUGCUUAACACAUGCAAGUCGAACGGUAAGGCCCUUCGGGGUACACGAGUGGCGAACGGGUGAGUAACACGUGGGUGAUCUGCCCUGCACCUCGGGAUAAGCCUGGGAAACUGGGUCUAAUACCGGAUAGGACCACUGCCUGCAUGGGUGGUGGUGGAAAGCUUUUGCGGUGUGGGAUGGGCCCGCGGCCUAUUAGCUUGUUGGUGGGGUGAUGGCCUACCAAGGCGACGACGGGUAGCCGGCCUGAGAGGGUGACCGGCCACACUGGGACUGAGAUAGUGACCAGACUCCUACGGGAGGCAGCAGUGGGGAAUAUUGCACAGUGGGCGCAAGCCUGAUGCAGCGACGCCGCGUGAGGGAUGACGGCCUUCGGGUUGUAAACCUCUUUCAGCACCGACGAAGCGCAAGUGACGGUAGGUGCAGAAGAAGGACCGACCAACUACGUGCCAGCCGCCGCCGUAA
rnacentral:rRNA from 1 species